rnacentral:rRNA from 1 species
AAGAGACAGCAGUCGCCACGGUAAUACGGAGGGUGCAAGCGUUAAUCGGAAUUACUGGGCGUAAAGCGCACGCAGGCGGUCUGUCAAGUCAGAUGUGAAAUCCCCGGGCUUAACCUGGGAACUGCAUUUGAAACUGGCAGGCUAGAGUCUUGUAGAGGGGGGUAGAAUUCCAGGUGUAGCGGUGAAAUGCGUAGAGAUCUGGAGGAAUACCGGUGGCGAAGGCGGCCCCCUGGACAAAGACUGACGCUCAGGUGCGAAAGCGUGGGGAGCAAACAGGAUUAGAUACCCCUGUAGUCCCUGUCUCUUAUAC